GUGAAGAUGAACUUUGUUUAUUACAGGAAUGCAUUUAUUUAAAUUUCAUUAUUUUUUAUUAAAAACUAACUAAUUGUUUGAUAUGUGAAGGUGCUCUUAAGUCAUGUGACUGCCAACAAGAAGUGGCAGAUUUAGCUGUACCAUGUUCUUCAGGGACCACAUACAAGACCAAAUCAAUGAAAGUGGCCACAAUCAACAGAAGCAAAAGAGCUAGGACAAGUGUCAACAAAUUGGCAGAGGAAAACCUUAAGGCUGAAAAAAAGAACAUCCAUCUACAACAAAUUAAUCUGCGCUUGAAGAAUCAGUUGCUACUGGCCCAACUGAAAGUUGCUAAGUUAAAGGCCCAAAAAAUCGAGGAAGAAAUUCAAAUGUUAAAAGCUUCAAGUAAUGAAUGUUAAAUCUUCAAUCUCAAAUGAUGCCAUCCAAAUUGUUAUUAUUAUAAAUAAGUUGCCUGAAAAAAUCGGUAUCUCCUAUAAACCUCCAUUUCCAACAAACCCUCUAGAGGAUUUUCUCUGUCAAACAAUCUUCUAUGCGGGACAUUUACGACGUUUUCAUAUUGGCGUAACGCAUAACGCGAUCGGCCAUCUUGGAAGCUUAAAGAAUUAUUCUAAGAAUGCCCCUAAGCAUUCUUAGAAUUUUAAAUAAAAUUCUUUAUUCUUAAGAAUUUUCUUUCGCAAAUUGAAUUGGUAAAUAAGACUUAAGAAAUUUUUCUUAGACUUAAGAAUUUUCUUUAUUCCUAAGUCUAAGAAUUGCUGAAAGAAUUGUUGGUGAAUACGGGCCCUGUUAAGAAACAAAACCUUAGGGAUAAAUAAUUAGACAAAAGCAUAUUUCAUGGGUGUUUGAUCAUUUCAUAAUUUGUUGUUUUACCUUAAGAAACAUUAUACAACCACAUGCUGGACGCGAAACUUCUCGGGACAUUGCCACUCAGCAACACAUUCGCGAACAAUGGGUUGAGGACGGGCUACACUGAUACUAGCAAGGGCUGUUGAACAAUGGGUUGAGGACGGGCUACACUGAUACUAGCAAGGGCUGUUGAACAAUGGGUUGAGGACGGGCUACACUGAUACUAGCAAGGGCUGUUGGCAUUAAUGUGACGAAAAACUCACAAAUGUACAUCAAUUUAAAGCGAAUUGACCAAAAAAGGCAGUACCAUUCCAGGGAAAAGAAGCCUCAUGAAUACAAACAAUCUCGAUACUUCCUACAGAAAAUAGUCUCGAAUUGACUGCUGUUAUAGGAGUCCCUGUACUCUCGUCAGCUGUCAACUUCAUGCUAGGACCAUUCAUAUGGCAUUCAAUACUAAACGUGUUUUAAAAUGCCUGUGUGUUUGCUGCGAACAAUGUUAACAAGAUUGUUACGUGCCAUAGGUCUUAAACAGUACUAAAUGAUUUUGAUUGGAUUCUCAUAUUGUUUGCUGUAAUUUUUGACAGUAUAUGAAAAUAAAGUUAUUCUUCAACACUGUUUUAG